CCUACGGGUGGCAGCAGUGGGGAAUAUUGGGCAAUGGGCGCAAGCCUGACCCAGCAACGCCGCGUGAAGGAAGAAGGCUUUCGGGUUGUAAACUUCUUUUAAGGGGGACGAACAAAUGACGGUACCCCUUGAAUAAGCCACGGCUAACUACGUGCCAGCAGCCGCGGUAAUACGUAGGUGGCAAGCGUUAGCCGGAUUUAUGGGGGGGAAAGGGCGUGUAGGCGGGAGCGCAAGUCAGAUGUGAAAACUCAGGGCUCAACCCUGAGCCUGCAUUUGAAACUGUGUUUCUUGAGUGCUGGAGAGGCAAGCGGAAUUCCGUGUGUAGCGGUGAAAUGCGUAGAUAUACGGAGGAACACCAGUGGCGAAGGCGGAUUGCUGGACAGUAACUGACGCUGAGGCGCGAAAGCGUGGGGAGCAAACAGGAUUAGAUACCCUUGUAGUC
rnacentral:rRNA from 1 species